UCCGUGCCAGCAGCCGCGGUAAUACGGGAGGGUGCGAGCGUUAAUCGGAAUUACUGGGCGUAAAGCGUACGUAGGCUGUUACUUAAGCUAGAUGUGAAAGCCCCGGGCUCAACCUGGGGAACUGCAUUUAGAACUGAGUAGCUAGAAUGUGUGAGAGGUAAGUGGAAUUUCCCAGUGUAGCGGUGAAAUGCGUAGAGAUUGGAAAGAACACCAGUGGCGAAGGCGACUUACUGGCAUAACAUUGACGCUGAGGUACGAAAGCGUGGGUAGCAAACAGGAUUAGAUACCCUGGUAG
rnacentral:rRNA from 1 species